GAUACUGCUCUUUUGUUGACUGUCCCAUUAUAGGCGCAUUUCAGGCCCACAGGACAUCAUUGAAUACGGAUCAUAGGAUCCCAAGGAAACGUGAACAUUUUUCUCUCGAUUAUCUUCUGAAUUGAAGACUGUAUGGUAGUAAGUUUACAGUUUCUUGAACGUUUCAAGGUCCGUUUCUUUCAGAGUUAUAAUUUGGUACCCACAACGCGCAGCAUCCAGCUGACCUACCGUUGCUAUGGUUACCUGCACUUUGCGGAGCGCAAGGUGCAACCUUGGUUGAUCGGAUACUUCCUUACCUCGUUUCGAUUAGUGACUGGAUUGAAAUCCAGUUGAUAGUGGGAUUAGAGUUUUUUGAUAACACAACACCUCUGUAAAAUUUUAAUUGUAUUUAUUUUGUGAUUUAUUUUGACUUUUAAAUCAAUUGCUAUUACUGGGCCCACUUGGAUGUGAGCUGCCCCGAGUUCACAGUUACGCACGAUUGUUAUUCGGCACUUGUAAACAGUCCAGUCUUCUGAUAAACAACAUGCAUUCGAGUCUGGGGCACCGGCUCAGAUUCAGUGGGAAAUGUGCUGCUUGUGACGCUUCGCGCCAUAAAUCCAACAAAGUGCGGCUGCUCCUCGUGACUGCGAACAGUCCGCGAGCUCUCCACAGUGUCACAGAUGACAGACAGGCAGUAGACAGACGGCGGAAGUUACUUUCUAUAUGUUUAUUUUCCUCUAAAGCGAAAGAGAAACUCUCGCCAACCAAUAUACUGCGAACGGGGGUGUUCCCAGGGAGUCAACUCGUCCGUGGGUAUCAGGAAUACGUGUCAGAGUGAGAGCUCUGUGCCGCAGUCUGCUCUCUGCGGUGUAACCGGAUCAGGACAGGGCAGACGGGUGUACAGGAGGCUUGUUUGCUUCCGAAUGAACCAAUGAGAUCGGCUUUACAUUAGAGUGACAGCCGGACUCAGCGAGUCCGGAGACGCCAUUCAGGUUCAACCGCCCCGCCACAGCCAAUACGGAUCCACGACGCACGGGAGCGGAGGGAAAGAAGAAAAUACGAAUUUGUCUCCCUGUAGGUCAAAGCCGUUACCUGCCACCUGUGAGACAGAGCGGCCUGCGUGCGGGAGCAAAAGGUGGAAGAAACAGCGGCAACAACCAUGGCUCUGUCGCAGUGCUUGGACGACUCUCCUCUGAGACUGUGUCCAAAACGCACCGGGGCCGACGACCUGAACCUUCAGGAGGUGUACAACGAGAGACACCGGCUGGCCCUGGAGGAGCUGCUGUCCGGGGGGCUCGACCACUUCCAGGACUUCCUCGCCAAGGAGAGGAUCCCCAACUUCCUGUCGGACGAUGAGAUCCGACGCAUCAGGAGCACCGCGGUGCCGCCCCGCUGCGUGUCCGUGCACGGCGACGACCAGCUGCUGGAGCAGUCGCUCAGCAGCUCCCUCGACUGCUCCUCCGUCACCUAUUUCCCCGAGGUGUCGGACGUGGAGCCGCCGGUGCUGGAGAUGGGCUGGCCCGCCUUCACCGCGGGGUCCUACCGGGGAGUCACACGGGCCGUGGCGCACUUCCAGCCCAGCUACGGGGAGUGCAUCUACAGCUGCAAGGAGGCUGCGAGGCGUCUGAUCAAAAGUGCCAGAGAGGUGAUUGCCAUAGUUACAGACUCCCUGACAGACCUGGAUAUCUUUAAAGAUCUUCAGGAGGCCUGUUCCCAACGCAGAGUCCCUGUCUACAUCCUGUUGGACCAAUUAGGUGCUCCCGCUUUUCUCAAGAUGUGCAGAGAUGUCGGUGUUCGCCUGGAUGACCUCUGGCAAAUGAAAGUACGAACCAUAACUGGCACGACUUAUUACAUGAGAUCAGGAGCGAGGAUUACUGGGAAAGUUCAUGAGAGGUUCAUGCUGAUUGAUGGAAACAGAGUUGCUACAGGUUCCUACAGAUUUAACUGGACUGAUGGCAAGCUGAACAGCAGCAAUCUCAUUGAACUUUCUGGCCAGAUAACAGAGAAGUUUGACGAGGAGUUCCGCAUCCUCUAUGCCCAGUCUCUACCCGUAAGCGCUCGAGGACCCCCAAGUGUCCGAAACAGCGGCAUCUACGAGCACCUCCUCAUCAAACACUCAGUCACCUCCUCCCCUCACUUGGCCAGAGAGAGGCCUGUGGAGCCAGUGUGUCUGACCAGCACGCCCAGCCGCAAGCCCAAGACCUUAGCGGUACAGCCCGCAUGUGACCCUUCGACUCCAGAUUGUCUUAAAUCCAGCCCAGCGUCUGACUCCUCCACCAUAGGUGAGAACUCGACGGAGCAGCGUCACAUGCAGGAGGAGAUCCUGGCUGGUAGCACCAUUCAGCGUUUCCCCGCAGAGCAGCUACCAGUGAAAGAACCCGUGAUACCAGGCACCGUCUCCUGCCAUGCCUCCACUCAGACCAGCAAGUCGGUGACGGACAGAGACACGCAGACUGACCUCCAGCUGACACAACACCAUGACAUCACCACACGGACAAGCACAGGACCAAACCAGGCCACCUCUCCCUCCAUCUCGUCGUCCACGCAGAUCUCGCCCGCCCAGGCAGCUCCAGACGGCACCUUGAAGGACUGCUACCACAAGCUGACCAAGGAGCGUCAGCACCACUACUCUGCCAUCCGCUCCAAGCUGGAACACAUGGUGACCACACUGUCGCAGAGGCGAGAGCUGGCGGACGUCACCAACGUGACUCAGGGGCUUGGCGCUCACAGCAGGCAGAGGGCACACAAAGACUUGGAGGAGGAGCCAAACCCCAGACUGCUUGUUGAAAGUGCAGGCAAGGGCACAUGGCCAAGAGCCAGAUGUGUACACUAGUUUUUCUACAGGGAUUUGGGUGAUGGAGGGUAGUGGGCAAACGGCUCUUGCAAGGUGUCAUGGGGAUCUUCUGUUUCAUAUGAAGAAUUAUUGGGGGGAGGGCGGAGGUGGUUUGUCUUUUCUGCUGUGCCUACUUUUCAUGCUGCGUCCUGAGCAUGUCAAAACAAUAUUCGGUGACAUGGUAAUGCAUGAUUGUAACCGACACAAACAUCUUGUAAAUAUUAAUUUUGACCAAAGACACGGUGCAAUAAUCAGCUUUUUGACUGUCAGUUUAAUGAAUAUCAUUUGCUGCGGUGGUUAAGACUGGAUAAUAUCUACUGUAGUAUGAAUGAAAAUGCACGUUUUUGUUAUUUUAAUCACAUUUGGCUACUGUAACUACAUCUGAUCGUCAUUCCAGAGAGCAGCUGGCUCUCACUGUGCCUUCCUGAUGAAUAAAGGAGCAUUUUUUUCUUAUUUA